CCCACAACACAAACCUAGCUCUCUUUCCCCUCGACCCCCACAGUGCAGCGCAGCACCACUCCCUCCUCCCUCAUCAGCCGCCGUCGGGUCUUCUUGUUGGGGUGGAAGAGUAGGGGAUCUGGCCGGAUCCGAGGCGUGCGGGCGUGGCGGCAGGCAUCUUUGGCAGCGGCGACGAGCAUCUCCGGCAAAAGGCGAUGGCGGGGACGCUCGAUUCGCCAUGGACCGGUCCCUGCAGGAGAGAGAAAGCAAGAGAGGAGGGAGAAAGCGAGAGGAAAGAGGAGAGGGAGGUGCGACAGCGGACGGGAGAGGGUCUCCGGCUGGUGCGAGACAUUCACAUCUCUACUCCUCUCUUGCUCUCGACCACCACCGUGGCCCUCCUUCUCCCGUUCGAUUCUCCAUCUCCUCUUCACUGGAGUUACCUGAGUGGUCAACACCGAGAAAGAUGGGGAAGACAGAGCCAGCGAGGAAGACGGCUUGACUCUGUCGCCGAUGCUGACCGGCCAAUUCCGUUGGGCGCCGUCAUGGGAGAAGGCAAACCAUCAAGGAGAAGCACGGGAGGAGAUAAAGAUAAGCCGUCGGACUCCCUAUUCACUUCUGGUUGCAUCUUGCCCGUGAACUCCUUCUUACAUCCAACUUGGCCCUUUUCUUGCCAUGUUUUGGGUAAAGCAUGCGAGGGCGAGGAUUAGAUGCGGCAGCGGCUGAAGGAGUCAUGGAGAGCGGGUGAGAGUGAGCUGCGGCUGUGUAACGCCCCGAUCUGGUUGAGGGGGGACCAGAGUAGGCUGGAUCGGAUCGAGAGAGGGGAGGGGGAGAAGCUUGGAGAAGGGGAUGAGCAGAGGAGAGGGUAGGUGAGGGAAUUAGUUCAUUUCUUUCAGCAUACUGAUACACGCCCCUGUCCAAAGCUUAAGUACCCACGCACGCCAACUGGCCCGGGCCCUAUGCGGCAACAGGUGGGACCACACACGCUUACACUUGGCAUGCCAACUGGCAGUCACACGGUGGUAUGCAGCACCGGGGUGACAUUCUCCCCGCCUUGAGAAACGACCCCUUCUUCGGAGUUACUGUCUUCCCAGAUUGGUGACUGUGGAUAGCGACGUCGAAGAACUUCAUAGUCUUCCCAGGUUGUCGACGGAGGAGUUGUGUUCCAUGCCACCUGCACCUGAACCACUGGUGCGUCUCCUCUCUUCAUCAUCCUCCGAUCCAAAAUCUGAACUGGGUUAGAGUCCAUUGCUGAUAAGUCGACGGUCGCAGGCAGUUCGGAGAACACUGGUGUAUAAUUGGGUGUGAACGGCUUCAGCUGGGACACAUGGAACACAGGGUGAAUGCGACUGUCGGGCGGCAGCUCUAGCUUGUAUGCCGAGGGACCAAUUUUGGCGCUGAUGGUGAAUGGUCCGAAGAACUUGAACGCCAGCUUGGCGCACGGGCGGCUGGCCACCGAUUUCUGCACAUAGGGUUGCAGUUUCAGCAGUACUUGCUCCCCAACCUAAAAGACGCGCUCAGUGCGAUUUCUGUCUGCAAACUUUUUGUACUUCUGUUGCGCCCGAGUCAACUGUGCCUGCAAGUUUUCCUUGUGCAGUGCCCAAUCCCACUGCUCCCCUUCCGGCAAUGAUGCUUGUGUUGCCGGCCAUGUUGCCAUGCUGCCCUCGUUGGCAUCCACCCCAUACAGAGCCUUGAACGGAGAGCAACCCAGAGAAGAGUGGAAAGAGGACUUGUACCAGAAUUCUGCAGAGGGCAGCCAGCGACACCAUUGCGUGGGAGUGUCGUGAACAGCGCAGCGCAAGUACAUCUCCAUGCACUGGUUCACGCGCUCGCUUUGUCCGUCCGUCUGGGGGUGAUAGGCAGUGGAGUAGAGGAGCUUGGUGCCCGCGCUGGCUAGCAGUUCCCGCCAAAGCACGCUGGUGAACACUUUGUCGCGGUCGGAGACGAUGGAGGAGGGGAUGCCGUGCAGCUUGACGAUGUUGUCCCAGAACACUCUUGCCACCCGUGUCGCCGUGAAUGGGUGUCGCAGGGGCACAAAGUGUGCAAGCUUGGUGAAGCGGUCGACAACCACCAUGAUCGUGUCAUACCCUUCGGACUUGGGCAAGCCCUCGACGAAGUCCAUUGUCAGAUCACGCCACGGGGCUGUCGGAAUGGGCAGGGGUGCCAACUUGCCCGCUGGUUUAUGCAAUUCAUGCUUCGCCUGUUGGCAAAUCUGGCACUGCCGCACAUAAUCUUCAACAUCAUGUUUCAAACCCUUCCACUCAAACAGCUUCUUGACUCGGUGGUAAGUUGCUGUCGAGCCAGAAUGGCCCCCCACGGCACUGUCAUGCAGAGCGCUGAUCAGUUUGGUGCGCAGGGCUGUGUUUGUGCCGAUCCACAGCCGCCCGCGACGGCGAAUGACUCCACGGUACAGCUCGUACUCCUCGUCGUCCGGACUGUGCAGCGCGAGCUGCUGAAUCUUUUCCUGGGCAUCUGGAUCCGUGGCAUACGAAUUGGCCACUUCCUGAAUCCAUGUUGGCUGGCAGAGGGACAGAGCAUUGGCGCUGUAGUGACUGCCCACGCGAGAGAGAGCAUCCGCCGCGCUAUUGUCGACGCCCUUCUUGUACUGGAACUUGAAUUGGAGGCCGACCAAUUUGGACAUGGCGCGGCGCUGGACAUCGGUCACCAGAUGCUGGUCCCCAAGCGUGCAUAAGCUUUUGUGGUCCGUGACAAUGGUGAACGGCCCGCGUUGCAGGUAAGAGCGCCAUUUGUCCACGGCCAUCAUGACGGCCAAGAACUCUUUCUCGUAGGUGGAGAGCUUCUGGUUCUUCACGCCCAACGCCUUGCUGUAGUAUGCGAUGGGGUGACCGUCUUGGACGAGCACGGCACCGAUGCCUGUGUCGCAGGCGUCGGUUUCGAUGGAGAAUGGCUUGUCGAAGUCGGGAAGGGCGAGCACCGGCGUGGUCACCAUCGCCUUCUUGAGCGUGUCGAACGCGAGCUGCGCCGACUCGGGCCAUGCAAAGCCUUUCUUGGUGAGCUGCUGGGUUAGCGGCUUGGCAAUGAUCCCGUAGUGGGGGACGAACUUGCGGUAAUAGCCGGUGAGCCCCAGGAAGCCACGGAGCUCGAUGGCGUUGGUUGGAGUAGGCCACUGCGCCAUGGCGUCUGUCUUCUCAGAAUCAGUCGCGACGCCUUGCUUGGAGAUGACGUGACCCAGAUAAUCAAUGUGAUCUUGCGCGAACGAGCACUUGGACAUCUUGGCAUAUAGCUGGUGCUCGCGGAGCAAGUUGAGGACGAUGCGGAGAUGUUCCAAGUGGUCCUCGAGUGUCUCACUGAAAACAAGGAUGUCGUCAAGAAAAAUGGUGACAAACUUACGGGUAUACUUGGUGAAGAUAGCGUUCAUCAGGCAUUGGAACGUGGCCGGAGCAUUUGUCAACCCGAAUGGCAUGACUCUGAAUUGGAAAUGGCCGUGGUGAGUUUUGAAUGCUGUCUUGUGUUCAUCCUGUUCACGCAUGCGAAUUUGAUGGUAGCCUGCGCGCAGGUCAAGCUUGGAGAAGAAAGCCGCUCCGGCAAGUUCAUCGAGUAGCUCGUCGACGACGGGCAAGGGAAACUUGUUCUUCACGGUCACGUCAUUGAGACGCCUGUAAUCCACGCAGAAUCGCCAGGUGCCAUCCUUCUUCACAAGCAAAACUGGCGCCGCGUAUGGACUGACCGAGUGCGUGAUCACACCGGCGUCGAGCAUUUCUUUGACCUGCCGCUCAAUCUCGUCCUUUUGCAAUGGAGAGUAGCGGUAGGGCCGUGUGUUUGUUGGCUGGGCUCCAUCUUCCAAUGUGACCGCGUGAUCAUACUGCCUGUGAGGAGGCAAGCCGGUGGGUGCGGUGAACACGUCGCUGAAUUCUUCCAGGAGAUCGUUGAUGGGCGUCUGCGAGGGCUUGCGUGGUCUUGGUUUGGGGGGCUGCAUCUCGACCAUGGCCAUUGCCCAGAUAUCAUUGCCGGCGAUCAACUUGCAUAGUUCUGCUGGUUGCACCGCUGCGAGAGUGGGUGUCGACUUUGGACGAACACCUUGUAGCUUGACUGUCUCGCCCUCGUGCAGGAAGGAGAUGAAUUUCUCCUGCCAGUGGCAAGUCAUUGGGCUGUUCUUCUCCAACCAGUCCAUGCCUAGGAUUCCAUCGUAUGCGCCUGUGUCGAGCUCGUACAUCGGCGUCGAGAACGUGUGGCCCUGCAUCCACCACUGGAGCUCCGAAACUUGGCGCGAGCAGGUUAGUCGGUCACCGUUGGCCACCCGCACAUCCAAUGUGGCGAUCUCUUGCGUUGUCGCCCCAACGCGCUCGACGAACGACUUGUUGACGAAGCUGUGGGUGCUCCCAGAGUCCAGUAGAAGGAGCAUAACUUGGUUGCCCACAAGCGCGCGGAGACGGAUUGUGCUUGGCGCCUCCGAGCCAUCCAGGGCGUGCGCUGAUAUUGUGCAACACUCUGGAGGGGGUGCUUCUUGUUGGGGUGCAUCGAGCAGGUCGAGUGCGUGCACGGUGUCGUCGGUGAGCAGCUCCCCGUAUGCGCCCACUUGGAUGGUGAGAGCUGGGCCUGCGUGUUGCAGCGGUGAUCACGAGUGUACCGGUCUCCGCACUUGAAGCAGAGUCCGUUGGCGCGCCGGAACUCCUUGAGUUGUCGUUCGCGGGCGUAGUCGUCGGGCUGUUGGCGGGGCGUGGCCGGCGGCCGGGCGGGCACAGGUGGUGGUGGGCGGCCCUGCGGCUGCGGCCGUGGACGCGCCCUGGGCGUGUUCAGCUCCUCCUCUUGAAUGCGUGCGAGAAUGGACGCACGCGUGAUGCUGUUGGGCGCCUGCAGCCGAACUGCUGCGCGCAACUCGUCCUUGAGGCCCAGCAAAAAUUGAGUGAUGAAGAAUUUGUUGCUGAGAGAUGGGUCGAGUGCCAGGAGAUGAUACAUGUAUGUAUCGAACUCCUUGCGAUACUCGCUGACCGUGCCAAUCUGACGGAGCUGCAACAAUUUGUGCAUCUCCAUCUCAAAUUCGUCGACCCCGAACUCCUCUUGAAUCGCAGCGCAGAACGCAUUCCAACCGAGGCCGCCAUGUGUUUGGCGAAAUGCCUGAAGCCAGUGAGCCGCUUGCCCUUCAAUGUAUAGUGUCGCCGUGGUCACCCAACUCGCGGGCGGCACAUGGUAGAGGUCGAAAUACGCCCGGCAGCGGUCGAGCCAGAGGUAAGGCGCGCUGCCAUCGAAGCGAGGGAAGUCGUGCUUCGGCGGCUUGACGUAGUGGUCACCAUGGUGCUGCUGCUGGUGGUGCGCCUCGCCGAUCUGGUGGUACUGCUGGUGCUGGGAUUGGACGCCGGGUUGUGGUGCUGUGGCCAACAGGGGCGGGCGCUGGUCUGAGAGGCGCGGAGACGGCGGCGGCCCAUGUUGGUGCUGUGGCGCCGGGGCCUGGGGCCGCGGAGGUGGUGGUGGUGGUGGAUGGAGCACGGUCGGGGAGUGCGAUUCCGACGGUGAGGGCGAUCUCUCCAGCGCCUUGCGAGUCUCGUCGACAUCCGCCUGCGUGAGAUCGACUUGCUUGGCGAGGGAGCGCAGAUCUUGCGAGACUUGGGUGUUGAAGGCGAUCUGCGCCUCGAGCCGCUUGUCGCUGUCGACCUUCUGUUCAUCGAGGCGCGCGAGAAUCGUCUCCAUCAUGGCCUUGAGGCUGGUGGUGUUGUCGUCCAUGGCCGCCAGCAACUGCCGGGUCUGGACGGAGGGCUUGGACGGUGCCGUCUCGCACCCCUGCUAGAUCGAACCCCGCCGGGGAUUUUGCGUGAUCUCGCCGGAGCAAGUCACACCCGAGGCGGUGGAUGUUACCGAUCCAAAUCAGGAGGCAGCAGCGAAAAAAAUUUGGGGCAGGAUCGGAGGCUCUGAUUACCAAUUGUAACGCCCCGAUCUGGUUGAGGGGGGACCAGAGUAGGCUGGAUCGGAUCGAGAGAGGGGAGGGGGAGAAGCUUGGAGAAGGGGAUGAGCAGAGGAGAGGGUAGGUGAGGGAAUUAGUUCAUUUCUUUCAGCAUACUGAUACACGCCCCUGUCCAAAGCUUAAGUACCCACGCACGCCAACUGGCCCGGACCCUAUGCGGCAACAGGUGGGACCACACACGUUUACACUUGGCAUGCCAACUGGCAGUCACACGGUGGUAUGCAGCACCGGGGUGACAGGCUGCCGGCCAAGAAGGAAGAGGCUAGCGAGGACCGGAGGAGGAGGCGCUCAUGGUGGAGCACAAGAGGACGGAGGCAGAGUGCUACUGCAGCGGCUGUGGGACUGAGCGAAAGGAGUCACACGGUCGCGUGGGAUGUGAGUUUUUGAAUUUAAGAGCUGGAAACUCCACAACUUGAGCAAAUUAUUGUUAGUGGUCGCUUGUUUGCUUGACACAUAACAUUACUAGAUCCCUCACUCUAUACGGUUGAUUGUUAAUUGUGUGCUUUUUUGUCCAUAAUUUUGCUCCUGUAAUUAAUCAUUUCCCUGUCCAUUGUAGGAAAUUAUUGUUUACUUUAGAUUGGGGUGCUCGAGCCAAUGAAAAAAGAUCACUGCAGCUUUGAAUGUAGGCGCAAGUCAAAUGAAACUAUUGGAUGGAGCAAUUCAGUGCGAUGGGGUACAUGGGCUGGUGCAGGAGGAUACAUAGCAGCAGAGUUCAUCUCUGUUUUGCUGACAAUUCACACUGAAACUGCUGAAAAGUAGAUAAUCAGCCAAUAAACAGUAAAUCAUCACAUCUAUUUGCUUUUCUGGUAUAUGGGGCCAUUAUUAUUCCGGUACUUCUAAAGAGUCAUUAUUCUUAUGGUACUUUUAAAUUUGCAUAUCUUUGUGUUCAGAUGGAAGACACCUGGCAAAGGUCUAACGUUUCAAAUUUAAUGUUAUAUACAUGCCUAAUAGUAAUACAUUAUAUAAUAUACUCUCUAGGCCGUAUUCUUAUUUAGUUUUUUUUCAUGCUUCUUGUUUCACUAGGCUAUUGUAAAGACAACAUACCCACUUGGAUAAUAUUUUGAUAACAAUAAGAUGUUAUCUAGCUAUUUUUACAAAAUAAUAUCAAUUAACUUGCAUCGGUUCAAUGCUAGAGCCGUAGUCAUGAAACAUUGCCACUGCGCCACAAAGCGAUUAAAAUCAUGGAAAUUGAUAUAAAAGUUACUUGUCAUUUCUAUAGUCUUGUAAUCACAAACCAUAAUGAUAAAAAAGCCAAAUCAUUUAUUUUAUUGGAGAACACAUCAAUAUAUGGAGAAUCAAAGGUGAAUGUAAAUGAAACGCUCCCUGUAUGUUUAGACUCCAGUAUAAGAUUAAAAUAGUGGAUAAAUCAUUGUGCCAUGUUCAAUUAGAACUACAAUAAGAAGACAAAUGAUUGACUAGCAAAUUCUGACCGGCCAAUUUCGCCGGGCACCGUCAUGGGAGGAGGCGAACCAUCGAGGAGCAGCAUGGGAGGAGAUGAAAAUAAGCCACUGGACUCCUUGUUCACUUCUGGUUGCAUCUUGCCCGUGAGCUCCUUCUUACAGCUAACUUGGCCCUUUCCUUGUCAUGUUUUGGGUGUUCCUUCCUACAGCCAUCUUGGCCAUUAGCUUUGGAAGGAGUAAUUCAACUCUGAAAGUAUAAAUAAUUUGAGACUGCUUCUGUCUUCCCUAUAAUCUGUUAAGGUCAUCAUUCUUUUUUCUUUUUUCCUGUAGUUUUUCGUCAUCUUUUACAGUGUAUUUGGGUUAUAUCUUUCUCUGAUACUUGGGCAUAUUGGUUGUCUUGUUGUCUCCUUUUACUAGAAGCAUUUCCUAUUCAGUGUAUGGGAGAGGUUACUAGCUCACAUAUAUAGUUUAGUUAUUAAGUUUCUAAAUAAGUUCAGUCUCAGAGCUCGGAUUUUGUACGCUUCAAAAUUGGAGUGUGACUUUUGCUUGCUGAUUGAUUCAGUUAUGGUGUGGUUGCCUACUACUCAAAAUGAUUUUAUAUCGUAUCAUAACUUCCAGGAACCGUAUCACAAUGGAUCAUUAGCAUUGCAGCUUUAGGGACAUGUAUGCUGCAUAUUCCAUCACUGAACAAGAUUGGAUUUCAGUGUAUACAAACCAUCCUACUCGCUGCCCUCCUCAGCUACUCAGAUAGUUCUUCCUUCUCAUUAUCAGUGAAUAAGUUGGUUACAUGACAUGCUUGAAGAUUGUAGUACAUAGAGAUUGCCUGGCAGACUAAAAUAAUUAGGAGCUUCUGAUUGGACCCUUCAAGCAAUAGUGUUGUCAAUAUAUUAAUUGUUGGAUUAUGUUACUAUACUAUUAGAAGAACUUCCUAAUAUAUGUAUUUAUAGGAUUCUCUGAUAUUUGAUGCAAAAUAUUGAUGGGUGGGUGAAUGCAGUGGACUCUUGGAGAUCUUGGGCACCAACGGCAUGUGCCGACGGCGUCCAUCGACAACCUGCCCAAUGUCCGGAUUCACCGAGGAGUACAACUGGAGACACUAUCGGUUGCCUGCAGGCCUUACUGCAGCCGGUUAUCUACAGAGGAAGGCAAGGACAACUAGAUUAUACAUUUCACAAGAUCCUCCCAAUUACAGGCAGAAACUCCUUUCAAGAUAUUACGAGUGUGGUUGAUUAUCGAAUACUGUCAGAUGGAAAGAAGGUGUAUCCUUUAUCUUUAUUUAGAUGUUUAAUUAGCUGCACAACCGUACAUGAUUCUAUAAGGAAACUAUUUAUCUUGAUGAUCCUGAUAUCCAGUCGUGUAUUAGUAUAGGCUGUAUUUUUUGGCUAGGAAUCUAUAUAUGCAGCCAUGAAUGAAUAGGCUAUGAUUCUUUUUUCCUUCUGAAUAGAUUCUUUUUUGUUCAUUCCCUGUGAAAUAAUUCCAGAGCUACUAUGUUAUAGUAAUUAUUUGGCACAUCCAUAACUCAACCAGUUUAUGCGUGAUUAUUUAGUGUGUAUUUGGUUCCAAAGUGAACAAACUAUUGGCCUUCGCUAGGCAAGGAUAGGUGUUUGGUACCAAAACAAAAAAUUAACUUUGUCAAGCUAACUAGCAUGCAUGGGUUUGAAUCAUCUACUUCUUAUAUCUCUGGACUAUAGAUAUUACAUGCAUCAGUACUUGAUGCAUCUCUGAUAACUUUUUGCUAAUAUCAUUGAAUUUCUCCUGAGAUCUCUCUAGACAUUUCCAAAUGUAUUUUAGUUCAGUGUUUGUAUUAACUAGCAGAAGAAGGGAUGCAAAUGGAAAGAAUUUGAGAUGCAUAAACAUGAAAGCACUAAAAGAUUUUCUCAAAGCAAAGAUGUCUAACCGGGAUACAUAUGGCAAGAACCUUCAGAUUGACUUAUUUUCAGCUGCUAUUGAGAUAUAUACUUGAUCAUAGGUCACAACUCAUGAAUUUACCUCCUUUUGGUUUUGAUUUUGAAAUAUAUGUGUCAUAGGUCACAACUGAUGAAGUUACUUCCUUUUGGUGAAGGUCUGAAUAUUGUCAUGAUCUUGGCUGAGAAGCUCACAUUUCGGAAGGUUCUCGUGUGUAUAAUUAGUUGAUAGGAUGACAAUUUAAGUUUAUUGAAGCUCUUCGUUAGGAGGCAGGGGUCUGCUUUGGUUUCUUGCUAUUUGCCUUUCUCUCAAAGUACUGGACCGAAUGCAUCUGACAGUUUAUAAAUCAAUAAUUUGCAUGGUUCUACUUUUUAAAUUUAUAACUCUUAGUCUUUUCACUUAGAAAUAAUGCGAGUUAUUUUUUAGGGGAAAAUAGCUUUUGUUCACUUAAUAAAUCAUGUUCAUUAUAAUCAGUGCUGCUUGACCAGAAGGUAGUGUCUCGUGCUGGGUAGCAUCCAUGUUGAUAUUUCUUGAUCAUAUAAUCUUAUAUCCUAUAUGUGCAAAUCAGGCCUUUAGGCUACUAGAAUUUCACUAUUGUUUAAUUUAGGAAAAGUUGAUUGAUCCAUUAUCAAGGGCAGCAUGAAUUAUAUGUGAUUCAACACCUUUAUUAAGUUUCCGUUCUUCUUUUAGCUUAUUAGUUGCGACCUAAGAUAGUACCAAGCAUGAUCUUUGGUUUGCCAUGUACAACACCACGGAGUCAUUUUAUUAAGCUGGCAUUAGUAAUUUUGCAUUUUACAUGGUUCAUGUGCAAGUUAAAUGUCUGUCCAAUAAUACUAAUAUUAAGUUUAUAAUGUUAGCAUAGCCUGUUAUUGCCGUUAUCUUCUUGGGAGUACUUGAGAAGGCGUGGCUGGGAAUGUGGGGACACGCCAUGGGAGAGGUGCGUGGUCGGCAGGAGUCAUGGAGGCAUGAAGGUGGACAUGUGGAUCUUAUCAUGGCAUUGAUACAUUUCAUUGCACCGAUGCUGCAUACCAAGUUGAGUGAAUGCCAUCGUGUCCUUAGAUGCCCUGUCUAAUUCUUGCUUGAAUUUCUGGUUUUGUAUGCUCAGAUGUAUGUUCAGUUUCCACAUUAUUUUUCUCAUGUGGAGUUGAAACCACAUUUGAUUGGUCCAAUAGCAAAUAAUGGUAAGUUUCACUCUGAAAUCAUAUUGCAUAUAGAGAUAUGUUCAUUGUUAGUCAUUGGGUUGUGGUAUGAAAUGACAGGUUUUAUAGUCAGUUUACUGUGUCAUCUAUUUAGAAUGAAGCAAAUUUGGGCCUCUAAAAAACAACCAGGUCGACACAGGGACGGUAAUUUUCCUGUGUUUUCCUCUUGUUAAUCUUGAAAUACCUUUGACAGGAAAAUGUUUCUUGUUUUUGUCUAACCAGUCGUAAUUUUUUUGUGGGUCCAUCUAUAUGAGAACCUUCUAAGUGGAAGUCAAAUGGUGGAGUCUCAGUAUGUUUUUGUUAGUUAAGUUGAGAAGUUUUUACGUGAUAUUUGAACUGAAAUUUAACUAUGGCAUGACUGGUACUCCCUCCGUAAACAAAUAUAAGAACAUUUAUAUCACUACUUAUAUAAGAUCAUUUAGAUCACUAAAGUAGUCAUCUAAAUGCUCUUAUAUUUCUUUAUGGAGGGAGUACUUCAUUUGAGACUCCUGGCUGAGUAUACAUACCAUGACCAUACCUUCUUCGUCUUGAUUAUUAAUGCCUUCUUCAUUUUAGUCUCAAUCUACAUGUGCAAUCAAUAAUUUUGCUAGAGAUGUCUAUAUAAUUGUAUUAUGCAUUGUUUUUCUGCUAUGUAAAUAACACUUUCCUUGGCUUUGGUGGUGGUGGUGCACGAUUCGUUGGAAUCCAAACAGGGCACCCGAGAAGGAGAAGAGGAGAAUGCUCUCAAGAGAGGAAAUUAUAAGUUUUAUUGUUUUGUUUUAAGAGCAAGAUAGGAUUUAAUAUGUAGUCCCCUGGCUUCUUUGUAUUCUACCCCCUCUGUCCCGAAAUAAGUGUCUCGACCUUAGUAUAAUUUUGUACUAGAGUUAGUAAAAAGUUGAGACACUUAUAUUAGGAUGGAGGGAGUACUAUGUGUAUGGCCAAAACACUCAUGAUUUUAUAGACACAUAUAUUUUUAAA